rnacentral:tRNA from 1 species
GGGGUUGUGGCUCAGUAGUAGAGUACUCGCCUAGCAUGCAUGAGGCACUGGGUUCGAUUCUCAGCACCA